CCAAAUUUUUAUCCAGGUUGACCUCGGAUCAGGUAGGGAUACCCGCU
rnacentral:rRNA from 1 species